CCUACGGGUGGCAGCAGUCGAGAAUCAUUCACAAUGGGGGAAACCCUGAACCAGCCAAGUCGCGUGAGGGAUUAAGGCCCUAUGGGUCGUAAACCUCUUUUGUCAGGGAGCAAUGGCGUCCACGUGUGGGCGUAUGGAGAGUACCUGAAGAAAAAGCAUCGGCUAACUCCGUGCCAGCAGCCGCGGUAAUACGGAGGAUGCGAGCGUUAUCCGGAUUUAUUGGGUUUAAAGGGUGCGUAGGCGGGACCUUAAGUCAGCGGUAAAAUUGCGGUGCUCAACGCCGUAGAGCCGUUGAAACUGGGGUUCUUGAGUGAGCGAGAAGUAUGCGGAAUGCGUGGUGUAGCGGUGAAAUGCAUAGAUAUCACGCAGAACCCCGAUUGCGAAGGCAGCAUACCGGCGCUCAACUGACGCUGAGGCACGAAAGUGCGGGUAUCGAACAGGAUUAGAUACCCGAGUAGUC
rnacentral:rRNA from 1 species